AUACGGAGGAUCCGAGCGUUAUCCGGAUUUAUUGGGUUUAAAGGGUGCGCAGGCGGCCAUUUAAGUCAGCGGUUAAAUCGUGGGGCUCUACCCCAUUCUGCCGUUGAUACUGGGUGGCUUGAUUGCGGUCGAGGUUGGCGGAAUUCGUUGUGUAGCGGUGAAAUGCUUAGAUAUCACGAAGAACUCCGAUUGCGAAGGCAGCCUGCUGGACUGUAACUGACGCUGAUGCUCGAAAGUGUGGGUAUCAAACAGGAUUAGAUACCCUGGUAGUCCACACAGUAAACGAUGAAUACUCGCUGUUUGCGAUAUACAGUAAGCGGCCAAGCGAAAGCGUUAAGUAUUCCACCUGGGGAGUACGCCGGCAACGGUGAUACUUAAAGGAAUUGACGGGG
rnacentral:rRNA from 1 species